rnacentral:rRNA from 1 species
AAUCAACGCUGGCGGCGUGCCUCAGACAUGCAAGUCGAACGAUUAAAGCUCUCUUCGGAGAGUGUAUAGAGUGGCGCACGGGUGAGUAACACGUAAGUAAUCUACCUUUGAGUGGGGAAUAACCCGGGGAAACCCGAGCUAAUACCGCAUAAUGCAGCGGCAUCGCAAGAUGACAGUUGUUAAAGGAGCAAUCCGCUUAAAGAGGAGCUUGCGGCAGAUUAGCUAGUUGGUAAGGUAAUGGCUUACCAAGGCUACGAUCUGUAUCCGGUCUAAGAGGACGGUCGGACACACUGACACUGAAUAACGGGUCAGACUCCUACGGGA